UACCAGCACCCCGAGUGGUCGGGACGUUUAUUGGGCCUAAAGCAUCCGUAGCCGGUUCUACGAGUCUUCCGUUAAAUCCAACUGCUUAACAGGUGGGCUGCGGAAGAUACUAUAGAGCUAGGAGGCGGGAGAGGCAAGCGGUACUCGAUGGGUAGGGGUAAAAUCCGUUGAUCCAUUGAAGACCACCGGUGGCGAAGGCGGAUCUCUGGGCCAUUACUGACGCUGAGGAGCGAAAGCGUGGGGAGCGAACAGG
rnacentral:rRNA from 1 species